GAUGAACGCUGGCGGCGUGCUUAACACAUGCAAGUCGAACGAUGAAGCCCAGCUUGCUGGGUGGAUUCGUGGCGAACGGGUGAGUAACACGUGAGUAACCUGCCCUUAACUCUGGGAUAAGCCUGGGAAACUGGGUCUAAUACCGGCUAGGAGCGUCCACCGCAUGGUGGGUGUUGGAAAGAUUUAUCGGUGUUGGAUGGACUCGCGGCCUAUCAGCUUGUUGGUGAGGUAAUGGCUCACCAAGGCGACGACGGGUAGCCGGCCUGAGAGGGUGACCGGCCAGACUGGGACUGAGCCACGGCCCAGACUCCUACGGGAGGCAGCAGUGGGGAAUAUUGCACAAUGGGCGCAAGCCUGAUGCAGCGACGCCGCGUGAGGGAGGACGGCCUUCGGGUUGUAAACCUCUUUCAGUAGGGAAGAAGCGAAAGGGACGGUACCUGCAGAAGAAGCACCGGCUAACUACGUG
rnacentral:rRNA from 1 species